rnacentral:rRNA from 1 species
UACAGAGGUCUCGAGCGUUAGGCGGAAUCACUGGGCUUAAAGCGUGUGUAGGCGGAUUGGUAAGUACCUUGUGAAAUCCCACGGCUUAACCGUGGAACUGCUUGGUAUACUGCCAGUCUUGAGCCAGCUAGGGGCUACCGGAACAAAUGGUGGAGCGGUGAAAUGCGUAGAUAUCAUUUGGAACGCCAAAGGUGAAAACAGGUAGCUGGGGCUGUGCUGACGCUGAGACACGAAAGCGUGGGGAGCGAACAGG